CCUACGGGGGGCAGCAGUGGGGAAUAUUGCGCAAUGGGCGAAAGCCUGACGCAGCGACGCCGCGUGAGGGAUGAAGGUCUUCGGAUCGUAAACCUCUGUCAGCAGGGAAGAACGGUCACUGUGCUAAUCAGCAGUGAAUUGACGGUACCUGCAAAGGAAGCACCGGCUAACUCCGUGCCAGCAGCCGCGGUAAUACGGAGGGUGCGAGCGUUAAUCGGAAUUACUGGGCGUAAAGCGCUCGUAGGCGGUAUGUCAAGUCAAGGGUGAAAUCCCCGCGCUCAACGUGGGAACUGCCUUUGAAACGGGCAAACUGGAGUGUGUGAGAGGAUAGUGGAAUUCCAGGUGUAGGAGUGAAAGCCGUAGAUAUCUGGAGGAACAUCAGUGGCGAAGGCGACUAUCUGGCACAUAACUGACGCUGAGGAGCGAAAGCGUGGGUAGCAAACAGGAUUAGACACCCUUGUAGUC
rnacentral:rRNA from 1 species